ACAAGCGGUGGAGCAUGUGGUUUAAUUCGAUGCAACGCGAAGAACCUUACCUGGGCUUGACAUCCCGAGAAUCCCCUGGAAACAGGGGAGUGCCUUUCGGGGAACUCGGAGACAGGUGCUGCAUGGCUGUCGUCAGCUCGUGUCGUGAGAUGUUGGGUUAAGUCCCGCAACGAGCGCAACCCUUGUCUUUAAUUGCCAGCAUUCAGUUGGGCACUUUAAAGAGACUGCCGGUGUUAAGCCGGAGGAAGGUGGGGAUGACGUCAAGUCCUCAUGGCCUUUAUGCCCAGGGCUACACACGUGCUACAAUGGGUGGUACAAAGAGAUGCCAACUCGCGAGAGCGCGCCAAUCUCAGAAAGCCAUCCUCAGUUCGGAUUGGAGUCUGCAACUCGACUCCAUGAAGUUGGAAUCGCUAGUAAUCGCGGAUCAGCACGCCGCGGUGAAUACGUUCCCGGGCCUU
rnacentral:rRNA from 1 species